GCCUCUAAUCGAAUCUGAGCGACCUGUGCACACAGCGAGGUUUCAUUUGUCAGAUAUGCCACUCUAAUGACAUCCUGUUCCCCUUCCAGUUCAACAGCACCACCAGAUGUAAAGAUUGUAAAGCAGUGUUUCACCUUUUCUGCAAGACUGAAAAGAACUCUUGUCCUCGCUGUCAGCGAAUGAAGAAAUACCUGGAGAGAGAUCUACAGGACUCCCACUGAACUAUUUAAUUGCUAACGAAAAAGAGAAGUUGAUCUUUUAUAAGAAGUAACCUAAAGUGCAAUUACUAGAACAAUGAGCCUUUCCCAACUGACUAAACACUGACAAGAGAUGCGAUGAAGGGGUCGCCACGUUACAGUGACUAAAACUUUGCACUAUUUAGAGGCCAACAUACAGAAUGGAUGCAACCAAAUAAUAAUGACCAGUGAAUUUGUUACUUCUACAAACACUGAUUCAGCCACGGCAUCAAGAAAAAUGCAGGACAGAGGUGACGGCACCUGCCACAAAGAAUAUUCAACUCACUUGUACACCUUCACUGAGUCAAAUUCACUUCUCUUAACUGUUAUUUGACAUGCUAAUCUCCGUUCAGUGUUUGUCCUGAUAUGAUGCUCAGUAGUGAGGAUGAAAUAUUUGAAACCAUUAAAAAGCUGGACUUGAAAUGAGCUAAUGAUCUUAGUUGUGCCUUGUGUUUAUUUUCAAGCUUGCCACUCUAAUAACUCAAUCAUUUCCUGUUGAUUUAAAGCCAUCGCAGGGCCAAAAUGCAGAACAAAGCUGUUUGUGUUGAACAGUAACCAUUAAAUUUAUUGUAAUGAAAAUCAUUUAGCUAAAUCUCUUUAAUUUAGGACACAUAACUCUUCUUUAUCAUACUUUACUUAAAUUUAUGAAUUGUUUGAUUUGGUGCUUGGACUCUGGAUUAGAUUAAAUAAAGUACCGUAAAUAAAUAUGCAGAAGAUCUUGAGUUGAUUUUGAUUUACGAUAUUUAGCAUACUUGCACUUUAUCAAAGUUGGAUAUUCCUCCAGAAUGUAGCUGCAAUAUCUUUAGUUCUCUUACUGCGCAAACUUUUUUUUUUGUUUUGAUUUUUUUUGUAUAUUCUCAAUUUUUGCUACUUUCUUUCAAUGUCUUUAGUGUGCUGAAAUACCAGUAAAUGACUCAAAAUUGCCAAGAACAAAAAAAUAAUUUUGAUAUAUGCAUAACGUAUUGCAUUUACGAGGAGCAUGGAAAAUACAGCACUACUGUUUUUGACAGAUUGUACUUAUUUUAUCUCGUGUGAUGUAUAAAUGACCAUACUGAAAUAAAAGUCUAUUGCAAUGAGAAA